CCUACGGGGGGCUGCAGUGGGGAAUAUUGGACAAUGGGGGGAACCCUGAUCCAGCCAUGCCGCGUGUGUGAAGAAGGCCCUCGGGUUGUAAAGCACUUUCAGUGAGGAAGAACGCCUGGUGGUUAAUACCCAUCAGGAAAGACAUCACUCACAGAAGAAGCACCGGCUAACUCCGUGCCAGCAGCCGCGGUAAUACGGAGGGUGCGAGCGUUAAUCGGAAUUACUGGGCGUAAAGCGCGCGUAGGUGGCUUGAUAAGCCGGUUGUGAAAGCCCCGGGCUCAACCUGGGAACGGCAUCCGGAACUGUCAAGCUAGAGUGUAGGAGAGGAAGGUAGAAUUCCCGGUGUAGCGGUGAAAUGCGUAGAGAUCGGGAGGAAUACCAGUGGCGAAGGCGGCCUUCUGGACUGACACUGACACUGAGGUGCGAAAGCGUGGGUAGCAAACAGGAUUAGAUACCCGGGUAGUC
rnacentral:rRNA from 1 species